rnacentral:lncRNA from 1 species
CCCCACCACACCCCUACUUCCCACCCGUACACCACACCCCUACUUCCCACCCGUACACCACAUCCCUACUUCCCACCCGUACACCACACCCCUACUUCCCACCCGUACACCACACCCCUACUUCCCACCCGUACACCACACCCCUGCCUUUACCUGAGGAGAGAAUUGGUUUCAGAGAGGUAUGACAACUUGAGAUAGAAGUUGUUCUUUACUGCUGAUCUAGGGUCAGGUAUGAUUUCAUCCCCCUAAUGGUUAAGUUUAGGACUGGGGGUAGGUUAGGGCAGCCUGUACUUCCCCUGGCCAGGGAGGGGGCAGGCGGGUACUCGUGGUCUAACACAUGUCCAGGGGAUGACGGACGUAGGUUUAAAAGAUGACGUUUGACAGAUCAGAUCCUGUGCAUAACGUUGUACUUCCUGUUCUUUGUUUUGGGUUGUUUUUGUUUGUUUUUUGUUUUUCUUGCCGGGAGUUUGUCUGUUACAACCCAUGAUCCUGCCUCUUUGUCAGAGAAGAGAACCCUGAAACAAGCAGAACAACGCAGCAGCUCCUCCAGGGCUCUGGGGUUUAGACUAGGUCAACAGAGAUGUAGACUGACCACAUCCCACCUGUUCAGCAGCUCCUCCAGGGCUCUGGGGUUUAGACUAGGUCAACAGAGAUGUAGACUGACCACAUCCCACCUGUUCAGCAGUAGCCUGAAAUAAUCAGAAUAAUAACGAUGAUGAUGAUGAUGCUAUAGAGCUCAAGACAAUUAGGGAAGGGCAUACCACUGUCCUCUUUCUGAAGACUCUCACAUACACACUUGAGCAUUCUGCACAUGAUAACCUAUAUUACAUGACUUUAUACCAUAUGGGAUGAGACGUUUACUCAUUGUGUUACCCGUCUUGUUUUGGGGGUGGGGAGGAGGUAGUGGGUGGGAUUUGGGAGAAGGGGUGUGGUAGGUAGUGGGUGGGAUUUGGGAGAAGGGGUGUGGUAGGUAGUGGUGGGAUUUGGGAGAAGGGGUGUGGUAGGUAGUGGGUGGGAUUUGGGAGAAGGGGUGUGGUAGGUAGUGGGUGGGAUUUGGGAGAAGGGGUGUGGUAGGUAGUGGUGGGAUUUGGGAGAAGGGGUGUGGUAGGUAGUGGGUGGGAUUUGGGAGAAGGGGUGUGGUAGGUAGUGGGUGGGAUUUGGGAGAAGGGGUGUGGUAGGUAGUGGUGGGAUUUGGGAGAAGGGGUGUGGUAGGUAGUGGGUGGGAUUUGGGAGAAGGGGUGUGGUAGGUAGUGGGUGGGAUUUGGGAGAAGGGGUGUGGGAGGUAGCGGGUGGGAUUUGGGAGAAGGGGUGUGGUAGGUAGCGGGUGGGAUUUGGGAGAAGGGGUGUGGUAGGUAGUGGGUGGGAUUUGGGAGAAGGGGUGUGGGAGGUAGCGGGUGGGAUUUGGGAGAAGGGGUGUGGUAGGUAGCGGGUGGGAUUUGGGAGAAGGGGUGUGGUAGGUAGUGGUGGUUCACUGAUGUAAACCUCCAUUGUUUGUUCCUUCAUUAUCCAUCCAUUUAUUCAUUUUUUUUCAUUCCCUACAUUUUUUUUAUUCAGUCACGUGUUUUCAACUUGAGCAAAGUAGUGUUUGUUCCAUUUUUUAUGGGGGGGCACAUCCCACCAUGCAAGCUUCUCUUUAUAAAGACCCACCACUGUCUGGUACUGUGAGACGCCAUUGGCAGCAGCUCCCAGGUCACUAUGCACUCUGACCAAUCCGUGUGGAGUGGGGCCUGUGAAUCCUUUGAUAUACUUCCUGAUUUGAUAUACCUCUAUACUGGAAUUACAGCUUCUGUUUUACAUCUGGAAUUUCAGAACCUAUACAACUAUACUAUUUGUAGCUUUUUUACUGUCCGUCAAAAAAAUCUAUCUUCUGCUCAGUACCUCUCCUUUGUCGUUUUCUUUCACUUCUCUCUCUUUUCAUGAUCGGUCAUUCUCUCCCUCUUAUUUCUGUCUGUGGCUCAGAACAUGCAGCAUGUGUGUGUAAAGCUCCACCGAGGGUAGGCUCGAUCUCAGGCUCGAUAUCAACCUGUGCUGUGUGCAUGUACAUAAUGUAUAUUUCUUUUGUUGACUGUAUUAAAGAAGAACCAGAGAAUCCUCGCUGUCACGUUGUUUUUUUUGUCGCUGUAUACUGGUACAUUAAGAGUGUCUCUCUGUCUGUCUGUCUGUCUGUCUGUGUGUCUGUCUGUCUCGCAAUUUUAAUUUAAGGGGCUUUAUUGGCAUGGGAAACAUGAAAUAGAUAAUAAAAGUGAAAUCUCUCUCGGUCUCUGUCCUGUGAAGACAUCCUCCAUCACACUACUGUCAGAAAUAAAGAGGUGCUCUCUAAUCUCACGUGUUGGCUACAUGUUGUAAUUUAACUAAUUGUCUUUUUAUAAAAACAAAUUCCUGCUACAUCUGUCUGACUGGCACAGAUGACACCAGCUCAAUAAAACACAGCACAAAAAAACACUGAACUGAAAAAAGAAAUAAUCAAGUCAUGAUUUUUCCCUCCCGUUUCAUUGUAAUGAUGGAAAUAAGGGCAUCAUUCUGAGAUUAGUGCUUCUAUUUCUCCCUGCGUGACACUGGCUGUUAUACCCGCCUCUGCUACAG